GCCCUGGUGGUCUAGCGGUUAAGAUUCAGCACUCUUACCACCGUGGCCCAGGUUCAUUUCCUGGUCAGGGGA
rnacentral:tRNA from 1 species